UACAGGGGGGGCAAGCGUUGUUCGGAAUUACUGGGCGUAAAGGGUCAGUAGGCGGCCAACUAAGUCCGACGUGAAAUCCCAAAGCUUAACUUUGGAACUGCGUCGGAUACUGGAUGGCUUGAAUUCGGGAGAGGGAUGCAGAAUUCCAGGUGUAGCGGUGAAAUGCGUAGAUAUCUGGAGGAACACCGGUGGCGAAGGCGGCAUCCUGGACCGGCAUUGACGCUGAGGCGCGAAAGCCAGGGGAGCAAACGGG
rnacentral:rRNA from 1 species